UACCAGCUCUCCGAGUGGUGUGGAUGUUUAUUGGGCCUAAAGCAUCCGUAGCUGGCUGGGCAAGUCCCCUGUUAAAUCCACCGAUUUAAUCGUUGGUGUGCGGGGGAUACUGUUCGGCUAGGGGACGGGAGAGGCCGACGGUAUUUUCGGGGUAGGGGUGAAAUCCUAUAAUCCCGGGAAGACCACCAGUGGCGAAGGCUGUCGGCUAGAACGCGCCCGACGGUGAGGGAUGAAAGCUGGGGGAGCGAGCCGGAUUAGAUACCCGGGUAGUCCCAGCUGUAAACGAUGCAGGCUAGGUGUUUGGGCGGCCACGUGCCGCUCUAGUGCCGCAGAGAAGUCGUUAAGCCUGCCGCCUGGGGAGUACGGCCGCAAGGCUGAAACUUAAAGGAAUUGGCGGGGAGCACCACAAGGGGUGAAGCUUGCGGUUU
rnacentral:rRNA from 1 species